AGGACCUUAGCUCAGAGGUAGAGCGGUGGUCUCCAAAGCCGCGCGUCGGGGGUUCGAGUCCCUCAGGUCCUG
rnacentral:tRNA from 1 species